GACAGAGGGGGCAAGCGUUGUUCGGAAUUACUGGGCGUAAAGGGCGCGUAGGCGGCCUGCUAAGUCGGACGUGAAAUCCCUGGGCUCAACCCAGGAACUGCGUCCGAUACUGUUUGGCUUGAAUCCGGGAGAGGGAUGUGGAAUUCCAGGUGUAGCGGUGAAAUGCGUAGAUAUCUGGAGGAACACCGGUGGCGAAGGCGACAUCCUGGACCGGUAUUGACGCUGAGGCACGAAAGCGUGGGGAGCAAACAGG
rnacentral:rRNA from 1 species